rnacentral:tRNA from 1 species
GGGAUAAAGCUUAGGGGUAGAGCACAUGCUUAGCAUGUAUGAGGCUCUGGGUUCUAUGCCCAGCAUCACCA